UACAAAUGUGCCAAUCGUGUAAAACUGCGUUAAGAAUUUUGUCUAGAGUAAUCCAGAAAUUUGGUGAUACAUUUCUUCUGAACGCCGCGGCAACACUGGUCACAUAUGCAUCCACAUUAAGGCGUAUCACGGGAAAAAGUUUAGUGUGUGUCAGUUUUAUGCAUAUAUGUAAUACUCCUAUAUUGGCAGUAACAGCCAGUAUAGUCCGAAAACAUUACAGUGCAGAUAUAUCAAUAAACACGUACAAAUACACGUACACAUACGUUUAUAAAUACCCUGCAGUGCAAAGUCAAAGCAGUCAGUAAAAAUACCAGUGCAUUAACUAGGAUGUGCCAAUUGACAAUUUCGAAGAACUUAAGCGUUCAGCGACAUCUGCCUUUGAAUUGACAACACCAAACAUAAAACGCAAUUAAUUGCUUUUCUUACAAAUGUCGGUUGUGGCGUCGCAUGAAGACUGACGGUUCUGGUGCUGAGAUCGCAGGUUUGAGUCCGCUUGGAGGUGGUUAAGAUUUUUAAAAUUAAUUCAAUAAAAAACAUGCAUAUGGGAAGAGAUACUUGUGCCAUAAAACAAGAAACUAAUUUCAUUUUUUCAUUUCAUUUUAUUUCAUUUC
rnacentral:lncRNA from 1 species